rnacentral:rRNA from 1 species
GAAUGUGGCCAAACCUCUUUGUCAAAGCCUGUCAGAUUUCAGAAGCUAAGCAGCGCUGGGCCUGGUUAGCACUUGGAUUGGAGACCGCUGGAAAUACCAGGUGCCACAGAGG